rnacentral:rRNA from 1 species
UACGUAGGGGGCAAGCGUUGUCCGGAAUUAUUGGGCGUAAAGAGCGUGUAGGCGGCCCGGUAAGUCCGCUGUGAAAGUCCAGGGCUCAACCCUGGGAUGCCGGUGGAUACUGUCGGGCUCGAGUCCGGAAGAGGAGUGUGGAAUUCCUGGUGUAGCGGUGAAAUGCGCAGAUAUCAGGAGGAACACCAGUGGCGAAGGCAGCACUCUGGGACGUGACUGACGCUGAGACGCGAAAGCGUGGGGAGCAAACAGG